UACGUAGGGUGCAAGCGUUGUCCGGAAUUAUUGGGCGUAAAGAGCUCGUAGGCGGUCUGUUGCGUCGGCUGUGAAAACCCGGGGCUCAACUCCGGGCCUGCAGCCGAUACGGGCAGACUAGAGUUCGGCAGGGGAGACUGGAAUUCCUGGUGUAGCGGUGAAAUGCGCAGAUAUCAGGAAGAACACCCGUGGCGAAGGCGGCUCUCUGGGACGGUACUGACGCUGAGACGCGAAAGCGUGGGGAGCGAACAGG
rnacentral:rRNA from 1 species